rnacentral:pre_miRNA from 1 species
GGGGGGGGGCCGGAUUAUGGGCUGUGUCCGGCGCCCAGUGCUCCCGGUGCCUGCGCUGUUGGAUUCGCACUCCUGGAGCCGCGCAGCCCCUU